UACACUCUGCGGGAGGCAGCAGUGGGGAAUUUUGGACAAUGGGCGAAAGCCUGAUCCAGCAAUGCCGCGUGAGUGAAGAAGGCCUUCGGGUUGUAAAGCUCUUUUGUCAGGGAAGAAACGGUGAAAGCUAAUAUCUUUUGCUAAUGACGGUACCUGAAGAAUAAGCACCGGCUAACUACGUGCCAGCAGCCGCGGUAAUACGUAGGGUGCAAGCGUUAAUCGGAAUUACUGGGCGUAAAGCGUGCGCAGGCGGUUUUGUAAGUCUGAUGUGAAAUCCCCGGGCUCAACCUGGGAAUUGCAUUGGAGACUGCAAGGCUAGAAUCUGGCAGAGGGGGGUAGAAUUCCACGUGUAGCAGUGAAAUGCGUAGAUAUGUGGAGGAACACCGAUGGCGAAGGCAGCCCCCUGGGUCAAGAUUGACGCUCAUGCACGAAAGCGUGGGGAGCAAACAGGAUUAGAUACCCGAGUAGUCCCAUG
rnacentral:rRNA from 1 species